rnacentral:rRNA from 1 species
UACGAAGGUGGCAAGCGUUGUUCGGAUUUACUGGGCGUAAAGGGCGCGUAGGCGGUGUGUCAAGUCAGGCGUGAAAGCCCCGGGCUCAACCUGGGAACAGCGCUUGAGACUGGCACGCUCGAGUUCGGGAGAGGAUGGUGGAAUUCCCAGUGUAGAGGUGAAAUUCGUAGAUAUUGGGAAGAACACCGCUGGCGAAGGCAGCCAUCUGGACCGACACUGACGCUGAGGCGCGAAAGCGUGGGGAGCAAACAGG